AUUGAACGCUGGCGGCAUGCCUUACACAUGCAAGUCGAACGGCAGCACGGGGGCAACCCUGGUGGCGAGUGGCGAACGGGUGAGUAAUGCAUCGGAACGUGUCCUCUUGUGGGGGAUAACCAGUCGAAAGAUUGGCUAAUACCGCAUGAGAUCGAGAGAUGAAAGCGGGGGACCGCAAGGCCUCGCGCGAGAGGAGCGGCCGAUGCCGGAUUAGCAGUUGGUGGGGUAAAGCCUACCAAGGCGACGAUCCGUAGCUGGUCUGAGAGGACGACCAGCCACACUGGGACUGAGACACGGCCCACGACUCCUACGGGAGGCAGCAGUGGGGAAUUUUGGUACAAUGGGCGCAAGCCUGACGCAGCGACGCCGCGUGA
rnacentral:rRNA from 1 species